rnacentral:rRNA from 1 species
GACGAAUGCUGGCUGCGUGCUUAACACAUGCAAGUCGAACGGUGAAAGGGAGCUUGCUCCCUGGAUCAGUGGCGAACGGGUGAGUAACACGUGGGCAACCUGCCCCUCACUCUGGGAUAACUCCGGGAAACCGGGGCUAAUACCGGAUACGACCUGGUGCGACAUCGCACCGGGUGGAAAGAACUUCGGUGAGGGAUGGGCCCGCGGCCUAUCAGCGUGGUGGUGGGGUAACGGCCCACCAAGGGGACGAGGGGAGGCGGGCUUGGGGGGGCGACCGGCCAAACUGGGACUGAAACAGGGCCCAGACUCCUAGGGAGGCAGCAGUGGGGAAUAUUGCGCAAUGGGCGAAAGCCUGACGCAGCGACGCAGCGUGAGUGAUGAAGGUCUUCGGAUUGUAAAGCACUUUAAGUCGCGAGGAAGGGCUGUAGGUUAAUACCUUGCAGCCUUGACGUUACCGACAGAAUAAGCACCGGCUAACUACGUGCCAGC